AUGCGAAGGUCCCAGCAGGGAGGCGAGUACUCUUCUCGUUGAGGCCUCUCUAACAAUCAAAUUCUAUACCCUUCGCAUAGUUAUUCGCCGAAUCGUAGGAUGCCCAAAUUUUCUUCAAUUUUGGUGCGUCUUGAACCCUCGGCUAUAUCUUA
rnacentral:snoRNA from 1 species